rnacentral:rRNA from 1 species
AGUGAACGCUGGCGGUAGGCCUAACACAUGCAAGUCGAACGGCAGCACAGUAAGAGCUUGCUCUUACGGGUGGCGAGUGGCGGACGUUUGAGGAAUACAUCGGAAUCUACUUUUUCGUGGGGGAUAACGUAGGGAAACUUACGCUAAUACCGCAUACGACCUACGGGUGAAAGCAGGGGAUCUUCGUACCUUGCGCGAUUGAUUGAGCCGAUGUCGUAUUAGCUAGUUGGCGGGGUAAAGGCCCACCAAGGCGACGAUCCGUAGCUGGUCUGAGAGGAUGAUCAGCCACACUGGAACUGAGACACGGUCCAGACUCCUACGGGAGGCAGCAGUGGGGAAUAUUGGACAAUGGGCGCAAGCCUGAUCCAGCCAUACCGCGUGGGUGAAGAAGGCCUUCGGGUUGUAAAGCCCUUUUGUUGGGAAAGAAAAGCAGCAGGUUAAUACCCCGCUGUUCUGACGGUACCCAAAGAAUAAGCAACGGCUAACUUCGUG